CGCGUAGGCGGUGCGGUAAGUCACUUGUGAAAUCUCUGAGCUUAACUCAGAACGGCCAAGUGAUACUGCAGUACUAGAGUGCAGAAGGGGCAAUCAGAAUUCUUGGUGUAGCGGUGAAAUGCGUAGAUAUCAAGAGGAAUACCUGAGGUGAAGACGGGUUGCUAGGCUGACACUGACGCUGAGGCGCGAAAGCCAGGGGAGCAAACG
rnacentral:rRNA from 1 species